CCUACGGGGGGCAGCAGUAGGGAAUUUUCGUCAAUGGGCGCAAGCCUGAACGAGCAAUGCCGCGUGAACGAGGAAGGUCUUCGGAUCGUAAAGUUCUGUUGAAGGGGAAAAAGAGCGGCGAGAGGAAAUGGUCUCCGAUUGAUAUUACCCUUCGAGGAAGUCACGGCUAACUACGUGCCAGCAGCCGCGGUAAUACGUAAGUGGCGAGCGUUAUCCGGAAUGAUUGGGCGUAAAGGGUGCGUAGGCGGCCUGCUAAGUCUGGAGUGAAAGGUGCCGGCUUAACCGGUACAGGCUCGGGAAACUGGCGGGCUAGGUGGCAGGAGAGGGCGGAGGAAAUCCAUGUGGAGCGGGAAAAUGGG
rnacentral:rRNA from 1 species